rnacentral:misc_RNA from 1 species
CUCUCUCUCUGUCUCUCUCUCUCGUUCUUUCUUUCUAUCUCUGUGCAAUUGUGUCUGGUUUUUGUUUGCUAUGGCGACUCCUCGAGAUCACAUUGAGUAUCUUAGGAAAACUUGGUUCUCCAUCGGAGGAGAAACCAAUCAUCUGGCUCCCAUGCUUUCCAAUGCUGUCGAGUUUCUCUCUGCUGAACUCUACACUAAGGAUGUCCACUUUCUCAUGGAAAUCAUCCAGAAUGCAGAAGAUAACGAUUACCCGGAAGGGGUGGAUCCUUCGCUUGAGUUUGUCAUAACAUCUCGUGAUAUUACAGCUACUGGUGCCCCUGCCACGUUGCUCAUAUUCAACAACGAGAACGGUUUUUCUAACAAAAAUAUUGAGGCUAUUUGCAACGUUGGAAAUUCCACUAAGAAAGGCAACAGGAAACGCGGUUAUAUUGGGGAGAAAGGAAUUGGGUUCAAGAGUGUGUUUCUCAUUAGUGCUCAACCUUACAUAUUCAGUAAUGGCUAUCAGAUACGCUUCAAUGAAAAGCCUUGUCCACAGUGCAAGCUUGGAUUCAUAGUUCCCGAAUGGGUUGAGGAGAGUCCAUCUCUUGAUGAUAUAAAGCAAAUAUAUGGUCCCGGUUCCUCCCUUCCUACUACGGUAAUAAUCUUGCCUCUGAAGCCUGACAAGAUGAAAGCUGUGAAGCAGCAACUUUCAAGCAUUCAUCCUGAAGUUCUGUUAUUCCUUUCAAAGAUAAAGCGGCUUUCUGUCAGGGAGGAUAAUGAGGAUCCCGGACUCAAUACUGUCAGUGCAAUAGCAAUUACCAAGGAGACCAAUUGGGUGACAAGGAAGAAUAUUGAUGCUGAAUCCUUCACACUCCAUCUUUCUGCGGAGGGAAAUGGUAAUGACUCCAUAGGAGAAUGCAGCUACUACAUUUGGAAACAGAAGUUUCCUGUGAGACAGGAAAACAGAGUUGAAAGGAGAAUGGAAGUCGAGGAGUGGGUGAUCACUUUGGCUUUUCCUAAUGGAGAGCGUCUGCAUAGAGGAAUGAACGCACCUGGGGUUUAUGCAUUUCUUCCUACUGAGAUGGUCACAAACUUUCCAUUCAUAAUCCAAGCAGAUUUUAUUUUAGCAUCAUCAAGGGAAACGAUACUUUUGGACAACGUGUGGAAUCAAGGAAUUCUUAAUUGCGUACCCUUUGCCUUUGUUGAAGCAUUGAUCUCACUAGUCAGAACCACAGAAGAAGCACCAGUAUUUAAUUUGGCUCGAAUGUUUGAGUUCCUUCCUGUCAGCAGCUCUCCCUAUCCAAGAUUGAAUGCUGUGAGGGAAUCAAUCAAAGCAAAGCUGGCUGAAGAAAACAUUGUUCCAAGUGAAUCAUGCAUGGAGCAGAAGAUCUUCCGUAGACCGUGUGAAAUUGGUAGAAUAAUGCCUGAAUUUUGGAAUAUACUAAACAAUGCAAGGGAUGAAGGAGUGAGCUUGCUUAAUCUUUCAUCCCAUGGUUGGUAUGUUCUGAAUUCUUCAUUUGACCAACCGGUGUAUGAUCAAAUACUGAAUUUCCUAGGAGUGGGAACAGUGAACAAUGAAUGGUAUGCAAAGUGUAUUAGGGGCUCUAAUCUUGUUAUGGGAGUCUCAGAGGAAACUUAUUCAGGGCUUCUCAUUUUCCUUGCUGAGAAUUGGCAGUCCAAGUUUUGCAACACUGACAUGUUAAACAUUCCACUUAUAAAAUAUGUGGGUGUUGACGGGAGUGUGCGUUUGUGCAGUGUUAAUGAAUCAGCAAGAAAUAGAGUUUCAUUGUGCUUGUCCGAAAAAAUUGAUCAUGCAUCAUGGUUGAUAGAUUGGAACAGAGAAUUCCGAUGUGUGGCAAAGUGGUUUUUUAUGCCAAGGAGUACCCAACAAGCUCUUUGGUCAUUUUCCAAAUUGCAUGUGGUAUGGCACUGGCUUAUCAAUCAUGCUAAACUCACUGCUUACAAUGUAUUUGAGUAUGCAAAUGUACUCUGUAAUCAUGUUGGUGGUGAUCGGAAGCUUGUCAUUGCCUACGUUCACUUUUUAUAUAACUCUUUUUUACAGAGGUAUCUCUCAGAGUCGGAGGUUAAACGUUUUUGUGGUUCUAUGCCUCUGGUAGAUAACUAUGGGAGUGUGAUCACCAAGUGGAGUGUGGUUCUUGUACCAGCCAGAGUAAGCAAAUGGGUACAGUUAUGCUGGGCAAAUCCCUGGGUAAAAGAUGGCUAUAUUGAGUUAGGGGAAGACUACUCUUACGAUGGAUGUUAUGCUGGUCACAGCACAGCUGGAAACGAGCUCAUAGCGUUCCUGAAAACUUAUCUUGAUGCUUCUGAUAUUCCUCAUAUAACUCCUCCCAAUGAUGGAAUCCCUACUGUGUCUGGACCACUUACCAAGAGAAAUGCAUUCUUGCUGUUGGAUUGGAUUCAAAACCUGAAAUACAGAGGAAUUAACAUUCCUAAAAGGUUCUUAACUUGCAUAAUGGAGGGUAGCUGGCUGAGAAUCACUAUGAAUGGCUCUACUGGUUAUAGACCACCUUCACAGUCAUUCCUUCUCAGCUCAAACACAAUAAAGUCAGGCUGCCUUGACGUCAUGCAGAAUGUAUCUGUGUUUGUUGACAUUCCAUUAAUUGAUCAGAGCUUUUAUGGCGAUGAAAUUUUCAAGUACACAGAGGUGCUGAAAACCAUUGGGGUCAUGUUUGACUAUGGAGAGGCAUGUGAAUUUGUCGGGAAGCAUCUCAUGUCUAUUGCAACUUCAUCUACCUUGACCAGAAGCAAUGUGAUUUCAGUACUGAAUUUUGUCAAAUUUCUAAGGGAAAAGUUGCUUUCUCCAGAUAAAUUCAUCUGCAGUAUUAAAAAAGGAAGUUGGCUACGGACAUCCCGUGGUCUGAGAUCUCCGGUUGGGUCUGUACUAUACGAUCAGGAGUGGAGAAUUGCUGAGCAAAUAAGUGAUAUCCCCUUCAUUGAUAAACAAUAUUAUGGCGAAGGAAUUCUGCGUUUCAAAGAAGAGCUUAUGUUGCUGGGCGUCAUAGUUGGUUUCAACGGAAGUUACCAUUUGGUUGGUGAAUACCUGAGAUCUCCUUUAACAUGUCUAACCGCUGAAGCUCUUCUUUUAGUACUGGACUGCAUGCGUUAUUCUGGAUUGGCUGAAAAGCUGGUUAACGCAUGUAGAAGUACAAGAUGCCUGAAGACUAACCUUGGUUAUAAGUCCCCGGCUGAAUGUUUUUGGUUUGAUCCUGAAUGGGGUUGCCUUCUAGAGAUUUUUGGAGGUUUUCCAUUGAUUGAUGGUAAUUUCUAUGGAUCUGGAAUCACUUUGUAUAAAAUGGAGUUGAAGCAACUGGGAGUAAAGGUAGAUAUUGAGGAGGCUGUCAAAGUCUUUGUGCCCACUUUUAAGCGGCGGGCAUCAUCGUCUUCCAUUACAAGCGAAAAUGUAUAUUCGUUACUGUCAUGCUACAGACAGCUUAAUGGAACUGGUAAAUUUCCUUCAGAUAUAAUGAAAUGCAUCCGUGAAGAAAGGUGGUUAAAGACUCGACUCGGUGAUUAUAGAUCUCCACGAGACUGCAUUCUGUUUGGAAGAGACUGGGAGUCGAUCUCUCCCAUUACUCUCCUUCCCCAUAUUGAUGAUAGUGACAAUGGUUAUGGGAUGAGCAUUCAUGGAUAUAAAAAUGAACUGAAGGGUAUGGGCGUUGUUGUUGAAUUGAAACAUGGUUUAAAGUUUGUGGUUGCUGGCCUUCGUUUUCCUCAUAAUCCCAGAUGUAUAACUCCUAAGAAUGUGCUUUCACUACUGGAAUGCAUUCGGCUUCUAUUGCAGCAGGGACACUCAUUUGCAGAUGAUUUUCUGCAAAAGGCUUCUAAAAAAUGGAUAAAGACCCAAGCUGGUUACAGAGCUCCAGAUAAAUGUUGCUUGUUUGGUUCCGAGUGGGGUUUAUAUGUGAAGCAGACUGAUGGUCCUUUCAUUGAUGAAGAGUUUUAUGGCUUUGACAUCCAGUCCUACAAAAAAGAGCUUAGUAUAGUCGGAGUUAUUGUUGAUUCAGAAAAGGGAUGCUCAUUGCUCGCCAAUCACCUAGCUUCUCAUUCUGAAUUUCCUGCAAUUGUUCGAAUAUAUGAUUUCUUGAGUGUGUACCAGUGGAAGUCAGAGGAUGAAGCAACUGGCACAAUAUGGGUUCCAUUAGGAAGUCAAGAUGAACUUGCUAAAGGAAAAUGGGCUGAUCCAAGAGAGUGUGUUCUGUAUGACAAAGACAAUAUCUUUGGUUUGCAGUUGAAUGUUCUAGAGAAAUACUACGAUCCGAAAUUACUGAGUUUCUUUUCCAGGGCAUUUGAUGUUAAAUCCAGUCCUUCACUUGAUGAUUACUGCAAGCUUUGGAAGGCUUGGGAAAGGACAAGAAGCAAAUUGACACAUGCUGAAUGCUGUGCAUUCUGGAGGUGGGUCGUGAAGCACAGGAACUCAAAAAUGGGGGACACUCUGGCCGACGAAUUGGUAAAGCUGCCUGUUGUUUCGGGCUCUGGUGAAAUCUUAUUGUUUGACAAGCGUGGUGUUUUUAUAGCUGAUGACCUUCUUCUGAAGGACCUCUUUGAGAAGAUUUCACCCCGCCCAAUUUUUGUCUGGUAUCCUCAGCCAAGCUUGCCUUCUUUGCCCCAGAGUAAAUUGCUUGAUUUGUACAGAGCAAUUGGCGUCCGAACAAUUUCUGAAUCCGUUCAAAUGAAAGAACUCUCUUUAGAAGAUGUGGAACUUAAGCAGGCAAAUCCAAGUGACAUUUUGAUUGGAAAAGGGCUAGUUAGACUAAUUCUUGGCUUUCUAGCGGAUCCUUCUUUUAAUAUGGAAGCGAGGAGGAGGCAUGAAGCUGUGCAGUGCCUCUUCAAUCUCACUGUCUUGGAGACUUUGGAGCCGAUAAAUGUAAGCUAUAGUUUAUCACUCUACUCUGGUGAGAUCGUGAAUGCAGAAGUAAGCCGAAAGCUACGCUGGGAUAGAGAGAGUUCUAAGUUGUUCGCACAGAAGAAAGACCGUGCUGGCGGACAGAAAAGUCUUAUUGAAUAUGCAACAUAUUUCUCUAAGGUAAUAGCCGAGGGAGUGUUAUGGGAGAAAGAAGAUCAAAUAUGCGCACUCUCUGAGCUGAUUAAGUUGGCUUUCCUGCUGAAUUUCGAUGAAGCAGCUGUUCAAUACUUGAUGAAGUCCAAGAAUCUGCAAAUUUUCAUGGAGGAUGAGGCGUUCUUGUCAGCUGCCUUCCCGUCUGGCUAGGUCUAUCAUGAAUCCUUAAAUAUUUGCAUCGUUCUUCUUUUGCUUCUUUGGGCAGCAAUUCCCCUUGCAUGAUGAGUGGUGCAUAUGUAACAUAAAAUUUGCAAUGUUUGCGCGUGUGCGUGUUUCAUAUUGAGUGCAAUCGAUUUGAGGUAUGUGUCUAAUUUGUAAACCAUAGUGUUUGCAACUUUGCACUUUUAGAUCUUUGUUUGCUCUGCAUAUAUAUAUAGGAGCAUGGUAAUUAUUGGUGUGAAAAAUGUUAUGUAAUAUGUAGUAUAUGGACCAGUUUUCUUAAUGCCUUUUCUCUUGCUUGACCUUAAUGUAUGUAUAUUUAAUAUAUGGAUCAGUUUUCUCAA